rnacentral:lncRNA from 1 species
UUGUAAAUCAGAUAUAUAAUAAAAGUCUUCUAGAAAUAUAUGUAGAAAACCUAAUGUAGGAUGGUGUAUUGGCAUUUGGUCAAUUACGCAACCCAUUCCUACUUUGUCAUGAUGAUGGGCCCAACCCCAUCUCUCUUUGUUGACUUUGCCUAAUUUGAAUCCUUUGUCCGCUUAAAUAUUUUGAGCUUCUCCUCUACCCAUAUAAGCAUCCUUUUCUGUUCCAUCUUUAGAGAACACUUUUUUGCAGCCUAUCACCUAGAGAGAGAAACUGAGCUGUGUGAGACCAGAGAGACCUCUGUGGUAUCCUCUUUUUCCGGCGAUCGUAGCGGCAAGUCUUGUGAGCGUAGAGAGGGCUUCUGUUCCCCGACCUUUGUGUGUCCGUCGUUCUUGCUCUGGUGUGUGGACGUCCCGUGGAAACCCUGAGCCUGUGAGGUGCAAACGUAAUAGUGGUAUCAGAGCACCGUUCGGUCGCCAUCGUCGUCGCCAUCGUCGUCGCACCAGGAGCAACUCCGCCAAGCACUGCCGCCAUCGCCGCCGUGCGCCGCCGCCAUCUGCCACCUUCGUCCGCUGCUCUAGUCAGAUUAUCCAGCUAGGUAAGACGAGACACCCUAAGGGUUCUCGCUCAGGUAUUACAGCUAGGAGCCCAACUUUAUUUUCCGUUUUUUCGUUUUCCAUUGAUAUCCCCUCCCCGGCUGUGCCUGAGUUGUUGGCCUCGGUUCUCCAGUUACUUGGUGUUUCUGCUUUUGAAUUUUUUUGCAUACUUUGUGUUUGCUUGAAUUCCUUUGUGGUUUUCUACUCCUCUGUGAUCAGUUUGUUUAUCCUCUGUGGAUUGUGUGACUUGAUUCUUAAUUGUUGCAAUGGCUGCAAAUCAAUAUGGUCUUCUUCCUUUCAAUGGAAGGACUGAUUUUGAUAUUUGGAAGCAAAAGAUUAAAUGUGUUUUAAUCCAACAAAAAGUAUUUAGGGCUGUUAGUGGAAUAUACCUAGAUACUGAGGAUCAAUUAAAACGAGCUGAACUAAACGAAACUGCAUGUUCCACAAUUUACCUGAACUUGUCUGACUCUGUGCUUAGAAAGGUAGGUAUCAUGGAAAAUGCUAAGGAUUUGUGGGAAAAACUUGUUUCAUUGUACACUGAUACUUCCUUACCUGGAAAGUUGUUUCUGCUUGAAAAAUUCUUUAGGUUUAGACUUGAUCUAACUAAAGAUAUUGAAGAAAACCUAGACGUGUUUAAUAAGCUAAUUCAAGACAUAAAAUUGACUAGUGACAAACACAUUGAUGAUUACACUCCUAUUGUUCUUCUUAAUGCCAUUCCAGACUCUUAUAACGAUGUCAAAUCUGCCAUCAAGUAUGGUAGAGAUGAAAUAUCUCUCGAUAUAGUGGUAAAUGGUUUAAAAAGUAAGGAAUUAGACCUUAAACAACAUAGGCCCAGUAGUAAUCAAUCUAGGGAUUCAGGGGAAGCCAUGUUUGUGAGGGGUAGAUCAAAGAGUAGAUCCAAACACAAACAGAAGGAUGGCCAGGUUAGAAACAAUAGUCAAAAUGGUAGGAAGAGGGGGAAGUCCAAGAAGAGGGUUUGUUACAACUGUAACAGCCCAGGGCAUUUUGCUAAUGCCUGUCCACAUCCUAAGAGAGCUGAACAAGCUAAUAUAGUCUCAGAUGGAAAUAAACUUGGUGAUGUUUUUUCUGUUUGUGAACAUAGUAUAGUUUCAGAUGGUAAUAGACUUGGUGAUGAGUGGCUAAUUGACUCUGGAUGCUCUUUUCACAUGACACCUUACAAGCACUUGUUUGAUUCUUAUGAGGCAUGCACUUCUGGUUUUGUGUCAUUAGCUGAUAGUAAGAAAUGCAAUGUGCUAGGUAUAGGUAAUAUCUGCCUAAAAUUUGAUUGUGGUAGUGUGUUUACUGUGAAAAAUGUGAGGCAUGUACCUGCUUUGUGUCAUAAUUUGCUCUCUGUUACUGUUCUUGAGGAUGCUAAUUUAGAGGGUAGAUGGGGAAAAGGACGCAUGAAAAUUUUUAAAAAUUCUCUUGUGUUAUUCAAUGCUAUUAGGCGAAAUAACUUGUACGUUUGUUGUGCUGAUCCUUUUGCUGAAUCUGCUAAUGCUGUAUGUUCUGAUAUGACUUCUUUGUGGCAUCAUAGAUUAGGACAUAUGUCUAAUAAGGGUUUAGAAAUUCUGCAUAAAGGGGGUUAUUUUGGGGAGGACUCUGUGUCUUCUAUGCCUUUCUGUGAAGCAUGUGUGUUAGGGAAACAACAUAGGGUGAGCUUUCCCAUUUCCUCAUACCCUAGGCUUACCAAAAGCACGUCUGUACUGGAAUAUGUGCAUUCUGAUGUUUGGGGACCUGCUAAUCUCUCAACCCAUGGGGGGAAGAGAUAUUACCUGUCAAUCAUAGAUGAUUAUUCUAGGAAGGUCUGGGUGCACCUACUAGAGAGAAAAUCUGAUGUUUUUCAAAAUUUCAAAAAUUGGAAAAUUUUGAUUGAAAACCAAACUGGUAAGAAAAUUAGAAUUCUAAGAACUGACAAUGGUUUAGAAUUCUGCAAUAAGGAAAUGAACCAACUUUGUGUUGAUAGUGGGAUUAGGAGACAUAGGACUGUCACCUACACUCCCCAACAGAAUGGAGUGGCUGAGAGGAUGAAUAGGACUCUCUUAGAUAAGGUUAGGAGCAUGUUGACAGCCUCGGGGUUACCAAAGAAGUUUUGGGGUGAAGCAGUUAUGACUGCUGCAUACUUAGUGAAUAGGUCACCCUCGGUACCUUUAGGUGGGGAAUGUCCUGAAGUGGUCUUCACUGGAAAACCACUCGAUUUAUCAAACCUUAGAGUUUUUGGUUGUGCAGCGUAUGUGCACCAAAACGGUGAUAAACUUGACCCUAGAUCUAAGAAGGGAGUUUUCUUAGGUUAUCCAGAGGGGGUUAAGGGCUAUAGAGUUUGGGAUAGAACCAUAGCCGGUUUUAAGGUUGUGAUUAGUAGAGACGUUGUUUUCAAUGAAGUUGAUUUCCCUUGUUUGCCAAAUGCUGUUCUUGAACCUAAAUUUGGUUUGGAAGAGACUCAUUUUGAGGUGGAGUCUCAACCAAACAACUGUGUGCCAUUGCCUGAUAUGCAUACCACCCUUAGUGAGGUGGAGCCUUUGCAUGAUACUGAUGCCACCACCAUUGGUGAGGUGGAGCAUCAACAUGAGCAUCAACAUGAGCAUGAACAUGAGCAUGAUAAUUUGCAUGAUGUGCAUGUUGAUUCUGAUUUUCCUGAACAAGUUGAAGAAAUUUCUUUGCCUGUUGAGCCUGAUUUACAUGAUUAUCAAUUGACAAGGGAUAGGUCUAGACGAGCCAUUAGGAGAAAGGCAGACUCAAUGUCCGAUUUUGCCUUUAAUGUGUUUGAAGACCUAGAAUUAAAUGAACCCGAAUCAUUUAAAGAUGCCCUCAGUUCCCAUGAAUCUCACAAAUGGCAAAGUGCCAUGGACAAUGAGAUGGAAUCUUUGAGGAAGAAUCAGACUUGGACCCUUGUCCGUAGACCUCCAAACCACUCAGUUGUUGAUUGCAAGUGGCUUUACAAAGUCAAGGAGGAACCUAAUGAUGUUAGGUUUAAAGCUAGGUUAGUGGCUAAAGGAUUUACUCAAAAAGAGGGGGUAGAUUACACUGAAAUAUUUGCUCCAGUUGUGAAGUUUACUACUGUCAGAAUCAUGCUUGCUUUGUGUGCUCACUUUGAUUGGGAAUUGAAGCAAAUGGAUGUGACUACUGCUUUUCUGCAUGGAGAUUUAGAUGAAAAAAUUUAUAUGUCUCAACCUGAAGGUUAUGUGGAUCCUAAGAAAAGUGACUAUGUGUGUUUACUUAGGAAGGCCCUGUAUGGCCUCAAGCAGUCCCCUAGACAAUGGAACAUAAAGUUUGACAAAUGCAUGCAAUCCUUGAAUUUUGUGAAAUCUGAGUGUGAUCCUUGCUUGUAUUUCAAAACUGCAUCCAAUGUGCCUAUCUUCUUGCUGCUAUAUGUGGAUGAUAUGUUGAUCAUCAGUCCAUGUUUGAAAACCAUAGCUUACGUGCAAAAGUGCCUUUGUGAUAACUUUUCCAUGAAAGACUUAGGUGACGCUAAGAAGAUUUUAGGCAUGAACAUUGUUAGGGAUAGAAGCAAAUCCAUAUUAGUUUUGAAUCAAACCUCAUAUGUUGAAAAGGUUUUGAGUAAAUUUAAUAUGUUGGGUGCUUCUUCUGUGAAUGUCCCACUUGCUUCCCAUUUUGUGUUGAGUAAGGAUCAGUGUCCCAAAACUGAUUCCGAUGUUGAGAAGAUGAAAAAUGUACCUUAUGCAAAUGCCAUAGGAUCCGUGAUGCAUUUAAUGGUAAGUACUAGGCCAGACAUUGCUUAUGCUGUGAGUGUAUUGAGUAGAUACAUGUCCAACCCUGGUAUUGCUCACUGGAAUGCUUUAAAAUGGUUGUUGAGGUAUCUAAAAUCUUCUGUGAAUAAUGGAUUGAUGUUUACUAGAUGUCCUGAAAGUGUUAAGUUGUGUGGUUAUGUUGAUUCCAAUUAUGCUAAUGAUAGAGACAAUAGGAAAUCAACAACGUCCUAUGUGUUUACUCUUUGUGGGUCUGCAUUAGUUGGAAGUCCCAAUUGCAACCCAUUGUUGCAUUGUCAACUACGGAAGCAGAAUAUGUUGCUGCUACAGAGGCUUUCAAGGAGGCUAUAUGGCUUAAACGUCUAGUUUCUGAACUUGGUUAUCUUAAGCAUGAUGUUGUUAUAUAUUCUGAUAGCCAAUCUGCCAUUCAAUUAUGCAAAAAUCCUGUUUUCCAUGAUAGAACAAAACAUAUCGAUGUUAGGUUCCAUUUUAUCCGUGAUAUUGUAGAAACAGGUGAUGUGAAGCUGACCAAGAUCCCAUCAGAAUUCAAUCCGGCUGAUAUGGGAACGAAGUGCCUAUCUGCUGAGAAAUUGCUAUCUUGUAAAAGGAUUCUGAAUUUUGAUUGUGGUUGAUUCUGUGGUUAUGCUUACCCUUUGUGUUGGUUCCUUUUGCUCUGUGCUUACGGGAACCACGCUCCAUCGUAUGACUGGCUCGUGUGCUGAUUGUACUGGAUCAUUGUGGUCCAGGAGAGUGUUGCAAAGCACUCCUCCAAUUGUGUUGCGCUGACCAUUGUGGUUAGCAGGUGUGCCUUGUGCAUCACCCAUGGUUAACUUUCCUUUUUUCUUUUUUCACUGUGUUUUUUUACUUUGUGUUUUAAAACCGGUGAGCAGGCAGUGAUGAAUCCACAACGACGUAUCCACACACCGCCAAGGCCAAUAAGGUGGAGAAUGUAGGAUGGUGUAUUGGCAUUUGGUCAAUUACGCAACCCAUUCCUACUUUGUCAUGAUGAUGGGCCCAACCCCAUCUCUCUUUGUUGACUUUGCCUAAUUUGAAUCCUUUGUCCGCUUAAAUAUUUUGAGCUUCUCCUCUUCCUAUAUAAGCAUCCUUUUCUGUUCCAUCUUUAGAGAACACUUUUUUGCAGCCUAUAACCUAGAGAGAGAAACUGAGCUGUGUGAGACCAGAGAGACCUCUGUGGUAUCCUCUUUUUCCGGCGAUCGCAGCGGCAAGUCUUGUGAGCGUAGAGAGGGCUUCCGUUCCCCGACCUUUGUGUGUCCGUCGUUCUUGCUCCGGUGUGUGGACGUCCCGUGGAAACCCUGAGCCUGUGAGGUGCAAACGUAACACCUAAUUAUCUGGGUUUCCUUUUCUUGCUUUUUUUUUUUCUUUUCCUUAAGUUCUUGAUAUUUUGUUUGCAUUUGCAAUUUUAGAAUUUAAUGCUUACUAAGGAUUGCCCAAAGGCCACAACUGGAAGAGCUCAAAAGGAAAAUUAGCUUGCUACCAGGCAUCCCUUUUCCUUAUUGCUGGCUGUAAAGGCAGCUCCCAGUGACAAUGAUGAAUAUGGUGCCCUGUCUUCAAUCCCAAAGACUGUUAAUGCAACUUGUCUUCAAUCUCAAAGACUGUCACUGCAAUUUUGUAACCAAACAGAUUAGAAGCUGAAUGUGGUGAAAUCAUCCAGCCAACCACCUUUUACUUUGCUUCCAACCCUCUUUUUUUUCCUUAUAUUUAUAGAACCACGUCCAAUUCAAAUUUUCAUUGGCCAUUUUAGAGACUUUCUUAUUCAAUAAAAUAACUCUUUCAUGAUUCAAACAAACCGACAACCAUGGAUACAAAUUUACAUUCAUCUAAACCCAAACUCUUAGGCUAUAUUUAGUAUUACAUAAUGAAAUGAAAUAUAAUCAAUUAUAUAAUAUCUAUGUUUAGUAAAUCGUAAUAUCGUGUUUAUCAACUAAGUAAUAGAAUGAAAGGAGCAACGGAAUGCCUUGUAUUUAUCACCAUCGCCAUUGGUUAC